rnacentral:rRNA from 1 species
AUUGAACGCUGGCGGCAUGCUUUACACGUGCAAGUCGGACGGCAGCACAGAGAAGCUUGCUUCUUGGGUGGCGAGUGGCGAACGGGUGAGUAAUAUAUCGGAACGUACCGAGUAAUGGGGGAUAACUAAUCGAAAGAUUAGCUAAUACCGCAUAUUCUCUGAGGAGGAAAGCAGGGGACCUUCGGGCCUUGCGUUAUUCGAGCGGCCGAUAUCUGAUUAGCUAGUUGGUGGGGUAAAGGCCUACCAAGGCGACGAUCAGUAGCGGGUCUGAGAGGAUGAUCCGCCACACUGGGACUGAGACACGGCCCAGACUCCUACGGGAGGCAGCAGUGGGGAAUUUUGGACAAUGGGCGCAAGCCUGAUCCAGCCAUGCCGCGUGUCUGAAGAAGGCCUUCGGGUUGUAAAGGACUUUUGUCAGGGAAGAAAAGGCUGUUGCUAAUAUCAAUAGCUGAUGACGGUACCUGAAGAAUAAGCACCGGCUAACUACGUG